rnacentral:rRNA from 1 species
CAUCAAGUUUUUGAACGCACAUUGCGCCUCUUGGUAUUCCGAGAGGCAUGUUGGGGGGGAGCGUCUGACAAGUUGAAACAUCCAACGAGUUUCUAAGGUCAUGACAACGACAUUGAAAAGUCGCGAGUAAAUCCGAUGACCUCUUCCUAACAGAA